rnacentral:rRNA from 1 species
GGGAAGGGUGGAUUUAUUAGAACAAAACCAACCGGGUUGUGCUGUCGGCGUGAUGUCUCUGGAUAACUUUUCUGAUCGCACGGCCCAGCGCCAGCGACGUAUCUUUCAAAGGUGUGCCCUAUCAACUAUCGAUGGUAGCAGAUAUGCCCACCAUGGUGAUGACGGGUAACGGGGAAUCAGGGUUCGAUUCCGGAGAGGGAGCCUUAGAAAUGGCUACCACAUCUAAGGAAGGCAGCAGGCGCGCAAAUUACCCACUGUCAGCUGGAGGAGGUAGUGACGAAAAAUAACGAUAUGAGACUCAUAUGAGGCCCCGUAAUCGGAAUGAGUACAAUUUAAAUCCUUUAACGAGGAACUAUUGGAGGGCAAGUCUGGUGCCAGCAGCCGCGGUAACUCCAGCUCCA